AUUGAACGCUGGCGGCAUGCCUCACACAUGCAAGUCGAACGGUAACAGGUCUUCGGAUGCUGACGAGUGGCGAACGGGUGAGUAAUACAUCGGAACGUGCCUAGUAGUGGGGGAUAACUACUCGAAAAAGUGGCUAAUACCGCAUGAGAUCUACGGAUGAAAGCAGGGGAUCGCAAGACCUUGUGCUACUAGAGCGGCCGAUGGCAGAUUAGGUAGUUGGUGGGAUAAAAGCUUACCAAGCCGACGAUCUGUAGCUGGUCUGAGAGGACGAUCAGCCACACUGGGACUGAGACACGGCCCAGACUCCUACGGGAGGCAGCAGUGGGGAAUUUUGGACAAUGGGCGAAAGCCUGAUCCAGCAAUGCCGCGUGCAGGAUGAAGGCCUUCGGGUUGUAAACUGCUUUUGUACGGAACGAAAAGCCCUGGGUUAAUACCCUGGGGUCAUGACGGUACCGUAAGAAUAAGCACUGGCUAACUACGUGCCAGCCGCCGCGGUAA
rnacentral:rRNA from 1 species